GACGAACGCUGGCGGCGUGCCUAAUACAUGCAAGUAGAACGCUGAAGGAGGAGCUUGCUUCUCUGGAUGAGUUGCGAACGGGUGAGUAACGCGUAGGUAACCUGCCUGGUAGCGGGGGAUAACUAUUGGAAACGAUAGCUAAUACCGCAUAAGAGUAGAUGUUGCAUGACAUUUGCUUAAGAGGUGCAAUUGCAUCACUACCAGAUGGACCUGCGUUGUAUUAGCUAGUUGGUGGGGUAACGGCUCACCAAGGCGACGAUACAUAGCCGACCUGAGAGGGUGAUCGGCCACACUGGGACUGAGACACGGCCCAGACUCCUACGGGAGGCAGCAGUAGGGAAUCUUCGGCAAUGGACGGAAGUCUGACCGAGCAACGCCGCGUGAGUGAAGAAGGUUUUCGGAUCGUAAAGCUCUGUUGUAAGAGAAGAACGAGUGUGAGAGUGGAAAGUUCACACUGUGACGGUAUCUUACCAGAAAGGGACGGCUAACUACGUGCCAGCAGCCGCGGUAAUACGUAGGUCCCGAGCGUUGUCCGGAUUUAUUGGGCGUAAAGCGAGCGCAGGCGGUUAGAUAAGUCUGAAGUUAAAGGCUGUGGCUUAACCAUAGUACGCUUUGGAAACUGUUUAACUUGAGUGCAAGAGGGGAGAGUGGAAUUCCAUGUGUAGCGGUGAAAUGCGUAGAUAUAUGGAGGAACACCGGUGGCGAAAGCGGCUCUCUGGCUUGUAACUGACGCUGAGGCUCGAAAGCGUGGGGAGCAAACAGG
rnacentral:rRNA from 1 species